rnacentral:tRNA from 1 species
AAAGGGAGACCUAAUUCAGGUAGGAGACGAAAAAAAAGUAGUCGCUACCAAGAAUCAAUCCCAAAAGGUCGGAGCGAGGCGAAAUUGGCUUUCAAACUAGGUUCUGGGUUCAAACAAGACCUGAAUCAGGAACAAGGGCUAUUAGCUCAGGUGGUUAGAGCGCACCCCUGAUAAGGGUGAGGUCCCUGGUUCGAGUCCAGGAUGGCCCACCUGCACAGGUGGCAAAAGAAAGAAAAGAAGCGAGGAAUCAGCACCUUAUCUUAUCUAUAUAUAAGAGAGAAUGCUGGCUCUGAGUACAGAGUCCAGAGGAACCUUGGAAACUGCAUAGAGCUAGGUGAAAAAGCCAAAAAAGAAGACCGCAAG